rnacentral:rRNA from 1 species
GUUUAGGUACGUAGUCGACUCGCGUACUGGUACUGGUACGUACUCGAUUCGUACUUUCCUCGUACUUAGUAGACCGUAAUGCCAUUAAUUUGGUGUUGCGGGGAAUUUGGACUGUUACUUUGAAAAAAUUAGAGUGUUUAAAGCAAGCUAACGCUUGAAUACAUUAGCAUGGAAUAAUGAAAUAGGACGUUCGAUCCUAUUUUGUUGGUUUCUAGGAUUGACGUAAUGAUUAAUAGGGAUAGUUGGGGGCAUUAGUAUUCAAUUGUCAGAGGUGAAAUUCUUGGAUUUAUUGAAGACUAACUACUGCGAAAGCAUUUGCCAAGGAUGUUUUCAUUAAUCAAGAACGAAAGUUAGGGGAUCGAAGACGAUCAGAUACCGUCGUAGUCUUAACCAUAAACUAUGCCGACUAGGGAUCGGAUGAUGUUAAUUUUUAAUGACUC